CCUACGGGAGGCAGCAGUGAGGAAUAUUGGUCAAUGGGCGAGAGCCUGAACCAGCCAAGUAGCGUGCAGGAUGACUGCCCUAUGGGUUGUAAACUGCUUUUAUAGGGGAAUAAAGUGAGGUAUGCAUACCGUUUUGUAUGUACCCUAUGAAUAAGGAUCGGCUAAUUCCGUGCCAGCAGCCGCGGUAAU
rnacentral:rRNA from 1 species